AGAGUUUGAUCCUGGCUCAGAUUGAACGCUGGCGGCAUGCCUUACACAUGCAAGUCGAACGGUAACAGGUCUUCGGAUGCUGACGAGUGGCGAACGGGUGAGUAAUACAUCGGAACGUGCCUAGUAGUGGGGGAUAACUACUCGAAAGAGUGGCUAAUACCGCAUGAGAUCUACGGAUGAAAGCAGGGGAUCGCAAGACCUUGUGCUACUAGAGCGGCCGAUGGCAGAUUAGGUAGUUGGUGGGAUAAAAGCUUACCAAGCCGACGAUCUGUAGCUGGUCUGAGAGGACGAUCAGCCACACUGGGACUGAGACACGGCCCAGACUCCUACGGGAGGCAGCAGUGGGGAAUUUUGGACAAUGGGCGCAAGCCUGAUCCAGCAAUGCCGCGUGCAGGAUGAAGGCCUUCGGGUUGUAAACUGCUUUUGUACGGAACGAAAAGCCCUGGGUUAAUACCCUGGGGUCAUGACGGUACCGUAAGAAUAAGCACCGGCUAACUACGUGCCAGCAGCCGCGGUAAUACGUAGGGUGCGAGCGUUAAUCGGAAUUACUGGGCGUAAAGCGUGCGCAGGCGGUUUUGUAAGACAGAGGUGAAAUCCCCGGGCUCAACCUGGGAACUGCCUUUGUGACUGCNNNNCUAGAGUACGGC
rnacentral:rRNA from 1 species